ACAAAUCAGCAUAGGGCCGCAAGGUCCUAUAUACACCCCAAGCCUGUGAAGGGUUGUACCUGGAUCGGCUUUGGUUGCAGCUUUCGGGCUGCAGGUUCGACUGUCGCAAGAUGGUCAAGCCACAUAGACGCUUGUAUUGUUUGACAGAGUUUAGUUGCUUUUAAAAGAUA
rnacentral:misc_RNA from 1 species